AAGGGCACCACAAGAACGCGUGGAGCAUGUGGCUUAAUUUGACUCAACGCGGGAAAUCUUACCGGGUCCGGACACACUGAGGAUUGACAGGCAAAAUUAUUUAUAUGCCUAAUUUUUUUUAGGUAUUUUAUAUGCAAAUAUGCUAGUCCUUUCAUGAUUAUGUGAUAGGUGGUGCAUGGCCGUUCUUAGUUCGUGGAGUGAUCUGUCUGCUUAAUUGCGUUUCACCAAGGGCUUAUAAAAAACGUACGUUGCGCCGUUUCGAUCCCGCUUUUUAUUAAGUGUGUGGUCUUAGCGUUUUGCGCGUACAAAUAGGCCCUGAAAGCAACGAACGUGACCGCAACCUCUUGUUGCCUUUAUUCCAAAUAGCAUUGUUUGGCGAGGGAUUUAUUCAGCGCUUUACUUUGCUAAAAAAGAGGCUUAAAAACUAGAGGGACCGCUGUAUCUUCUUUAAACCAGAGGAAGGUUGCGGCAAUAACAGGUCUGUGAUGCCCUUAGAUGUUCCGGGCUGCACACGUGCUACAAUGAUUAUUGCAGUGAGCAUCUCAAAUACACACGGCUUGCGCAGACGGUUUAUUCGUUUUUUAUUAAGCGUUUAAUCUCGUUUUUGCGCGCCGUAAAGCCUGCUUCGAAAGUAAGUAGGUAAUCAAUUAGAAGUAAUGAUUUCCCAGCUUUUUAAAGUAUAGCACGCUUAUAUGCGGCGUUUGUACCCUUGUUCUGGCCUCGAGUCGGUUCAUGCGUGUUACUUAACGUUAAUUUUUUCUUAAAAUUAUUCGCAUGUGCUUUUGUCAAUUCAAGGUGGGGACAGACCAUUGUUAAUUGUUGGUCUCGGUUCAACUAGGAAUGCCUUGUACAGGUCUUUGGUUCAACAAACCACCUGGAAUACGUCCCUGCCCUUUGUACACACCGCCCGUCGCUCUUACCGAUGGACUUCUCUGUGAGUUUGAGGGACUGGGUUAAUUUGUUUUUUCUUCGGGAAAAAUGAAGACACCUAUGGAAACUUAAACGAACAGUGUGGUCUAAAGGAAAGAGAAGUCGUAACAAGGCAUCGGUAGGUGAACCUGCAGAAGGAUCA
rnacentral:rRNA from 1 species